CCUGUCGGAGCGGGCUAAUGUCACACACAGCCGCUGAGCCACUACAGAUCAGCCUCACCCAGGCCUGUGUGACCAAGUUAAUUCAGCCUUUGAGUGCAUGCAGGACAUUCCUCACUGACUGGGUGCCAACUCUCUGUUUCCUUAGGUAAUUCUGCCACAUCUUCCUGGCCUCUAAAGGCUGAGGUGGUCAGGAAUGUAGUCUUCAGAUCUCUUCUCUAUCUAUACCACUAAACAGGAGAUUUGAGUCACCUUGUCAGUGAGAUCAGAUCACAGGGUGGUUUUCUGAUCAACCCAUUUAAAUCAAUCCUCCCCAAAGUCCCUAUCCCCUUACUCUGUGUAUUAUACUUCAUAGCACUUUUUACAAUCUGACAUAUUACUGAUUAACCUGCUCGUUCAUUGUUUAUUCCUCACUGCCCAUUAGAAUGUAAGUUUCACCAGGACAGAGAUACUUUUUGUUCAUGGCUCUGUCUCCCACUCUGGAAAUACUUAAUGGAUAGUCAAUAAACAUCUGUUGAAUUAAUGAACAAACGAUUAGAUGAAUAAAUGAAUAGAUGCUUGAAAAUUGCAAAAUUAUUAUUAUUAUUAUUAGAGAUGAGAUCUUACUAUAUUGCCCAGGCUGGAUUCAACCUCCUGGGUUCAAGCGAUCCUCCUGCUUCAGCUUCCCCAGUAGCUGGGACUAGAGAUGCACACCAUCAGGCCUAGUUUUACAAAAUUAUUACCUUGGGAAAUGUACUCUAAUUCAAAAUCUUUACAGUCUCAACCAUCAUCCUCCUGUUGAAAUACUUCUUAAGAAGUAGUGUGUUAUCAGUAUAUCUUCUGUCUCAUCUGGACGUGGAAGGACAAUCACGAAAUAGUGGUCCAGAUUUGGCUCAGAGGCUAUAGUUUGCCCACCCCUGCUUUAUACAACUGGAAGAAAGAUGUCAAUUACCUACCUGCCCCGAGUGAGAUCAAUGAUACACAUUAGAGAGGUGGCUGGUAGGGGACCAGUGUGGCAGCCUCUUGUCCCCAGACUAAGCAAAACCAUCUGGCCCUCGGAGGAAUUGAACCCAUAUUAUCAACCUCAAUUAGCACCAUGUUUUACUCAAUUGAAGAAAUAAAAGUUGCAAUUAAUUCAACUGUCCUCGUCUUAGUCAUUAUCAAUUGCAAUAUUCUAUCCUUAUUUAGCUUCUAAAACCCAAAAGUUCAUGCUCCCGGACAAAGUACAUGGGAAAGUAUGAUAUGCCAGCAUUGUCACUAUUACAACUUGAAUGACUGCAGGAGAUUGUAUUUUUAAACUGCCUCAUCAUAGCCCUAUCCUCAAAUGUAUGCCAGGACUUCCAGAGAAGCAAAGUCACAUGGCUGUUUAUUCAAUGAGAAUUCAUGUUUAUCAUCUCUCAUCCCAAUCCUACUUCCCCUACACUAUUCUCCUGCUUGGCUCCUUGGAAAAGGAAACUGUCCUCCCUUCAGUUACAUUUUUGUCAUGUUCAAUGAGUUAAUUUUGUUGGCUCAGUUAUAUAUUUUAGUAUAAAUUAAAUUCAAGUUUCCUUUAUUUGAGUCUUUGGGCCAGUUGCAUUGCUUUAUACUUUCUGGUGUUCUCAAUUUCAACUUUGCUAGCAUUUAGAAGGCAAAGGCACUGUCUAGCAGAAGUAAUAAUCCUUUUAACUACCUAAUUGCUUCUGUUGGUUACCGCCGUUUGUCUUCUAGACUCAAGGCAUUGACUCUAGAUGACUUCCAAC
rnacentral:lncRNA from 1 species